rnacentral:rRNA from 1 species
UACGAAGGGGGCUAGCGUUGUUCGGAAUCACUGGGCGUAAAGCGCACGCAGGCGGGUCGUUAAGUCAGGGGUGAAAUCCCGAGGCUCAACCUCGGAACUGCCUUUGAUACUGGCGAUCUUUGAGUCCGGGAGAGGUGAGUGGAACUCCGAGUGUAGAGGUGAAAUUCGUAGAUAUUCGGAAGAACACCAGUGGCGAAGGCGGCUCACUGGCCCGGUACUGACGCUCAUGUGCGAAAGCGUGGGGAGCAAACAGG